CUAGGUGGACACGAGGCAGCACAGCUAUGGAAGUCUACCGCUGUAAGGACUGUGAAAGCUGCAAAUGCAAGGAUGGGAUAAUUGAUUUUAACAACUGUACAAGAAUCGCUGAAAUACAGCACAAGAAAAACACUAUUCCAGGUGUAACAGUUGAGUUGACGGCCAAUGAAUCACACAUCACUGUUUGCUUUGAGCAAACAAAUUUCUGUCCUGAAGAAAUUUAUGGCAUCUCGGAUCAAAAUGAGCCACCAAAACUCUCGUGUGGCAUCCUGAAUUGUGGAGAAAACGGAGGAGGCAACAUCAGUUCUGAGAACCAGACUGUUUGCUGUGAAGCAGAGGCAGAUGCCUGGCGCUACAACCCUGACCUGAAGUGCUACGUUCAGAAGUCACAUCCAAAACACGCUGCACUGCCAGUUACCAUUCCUGAUGGGGCCAGUUCCUCUGUGUGGCGCUUACGAGGCAGCUCAUGGCUUAGCACUCCUGCUUGCUUCACUUGGAUGCUCUGUUUUCUUCUACUCUGCAGCUUCUAG
rnacentral:lncRNA from 1 species